rnacentral:rRNA from 1 species
GACACGCUGGCGGCGUGCUUAAAACAUGCAAGUCGAACGGACUUCUCAUGAAGCUUGCGAUUGAGAAGUUAGUGGCGGACGGGUGAGUAACGCGUGGGCAACCUGCCCCUGAGCCCGGGAUAACAGUUCGAAAGGACUGCUAAGACCGGAUAUACUUGCGGGGAAGCAUUUCUCUGUAAGGAAAGGGAACGCUCAGGGAUGGGCCCGCGUCCCAUUAGCUAGUUGGUGAGGUAACGGCCCACCAAGGCGACGAUGGGUAGCCGGCCUGAGAGGGUGAACGGCCACACUGGGACUGAGACACGGCCCAGACUCCUACGGGAGGCAGCAGUUGGGAAUCUUCGGCAAUGGGCGCAAGCCUGACCGAGCAACGCCGCGUGAGUGAUGAAGGUUUUCGGAUUGUAAAGCUCUGUCUUCCGGGACGAUAAUGACGGUACCGGAGGAGGAAGCCACGGCUAACUACGUG